rnacentral:rRNA from 1 species
AACGAACGCUGGCGGCAUGCCUAACACAUGCAAGUCGAACGAGACCUUCGGGUCUAGUGGCGCACGGGUGCGUAACGCGUGGGAACCUGCCCUUAGGUUCGGAAUAACUCCCCGAAAGGGGUGCUAAUACCGGAUAAUGUCUUCGGACCAAAGAUUUAUCGCCUUUGGAUGGGCCCGCGUUGGUUUAGCUGGUUGGUAGGGUAAAAGCCUACCAAGGCGACGAUCCUUAGCUGGUCUGAGAGGAUGAUCAGCCACACUGGGACUGAGACACGGCCCAGACUCCUACGGGAGGCAGCAGUGGGGAAUAUUGGACAAUGGGCGAAAGCCUGAUCCAGCAAUGCCGGGUGAGUGAUGAAGGCCUUAGGGUUGUAAAGCUCUUUUACCCGGGAUGAUAAUGACAGUACCGGGAGAAUAAGCUCCGGCUAACUCCGUG